UUGUUCGUGUGGCUUUAUCUAGACGGUGCAGCUGUUCGGUUAUCGUCCGAAGCACCUUACGCUUCGGGCUGUCCCUCGAGUCUCCUUCGUCCCUUCCUUUGAAACCUGCCCAGCGGCGUUGGCUCAGCGCUCCCGUAUGCUUCCGCUUGCCUGCACGCUGCUGGGCGUGCGGGGUGCGGUUCGUCCGGGCGUGCUGUGUUUGCGGACCGUGGUGGCGGAUGAGCGGUGUGUGGGU